rnacentral:rRNA from 1 species
UGGGGAAUAUUGGACAAUGGGCGAAAGCCUGAUCCAGCCAUGCCGCGUGUGUGAAGAAGGUCUUCGGAUUGUAAAGCACUUUAAGUUGGGAGGAAGGGUUGUAGAUUAAUACUCUGCAAUUUUGACGUUACCGACAGAAUAAGCACCGGCUAACUCUGUGCCAGCAGCCGCGGUAAUACAGAGGGUGCAAGCGUUAAUCGGAAUUACUGGGCGUAAAGCGCGCGUAGGGGGUUUGUUAAGUUGGAUGUGAAAGCCCCGGGCUCAACCUGGGAACUGCAUCCAAAACUGGCAAGCUAGAGUACGGUAGAGGGUGGUGGAAUUUCCUGUGUAGCGGUGAAAUGCGUAGAUAUAGGAAGGAACACCAGUGGCGAAGGCGACCACCUGGACUGAUACUGACACUGAGGUGCGAAAGCGUGGGGAGCAAACA